UACGUAGGGGGCAAGCGUUAUCCGGAUUUACUGGGUGUAAAGGGAGCGUAGACGGCAUGACAAGCCAGAUGUGAAAACCCAGGGCUCAACCCUGGGACUGCAUUUGGAACUGCCAGGCUGGAGUGCAGGAGAGGUAAGCGGAAUUCCUAGUGUAGCGGUGAAAUGCGUAGAUAUUAGGAGGAACACCAGUGGCGAAGGCGGCUUACUGGACUGUAACUGACGUUGAGGCUCGAAAGCGUGGGGAGCAAACAGG
rnacentral:rRNA from 2 species